AGAGUUUGAUCAUGGCUCCCGAUGAACGCUGGCGGCGUGCUUAAUACAUGCAAGUCGAACGGAGAAUUGUAGCAAUGCAGUUCUCAGUGGCGAACGGGCGAGUAACGAGUUGGUGACCUGCCCCGAAGUGUGGGAUAACAGUCCGAAAGGAUUGCUAAUACCGCAUGUGAUUAUCGGUUUUAGAAUCUGAUAAUUAAAGCAGUAAUGCGCUUCGGGAGGGACCUGCUUUCCAUCAGCUAGUUGGUGAGGUAACGGCCCACCAAGGCUACGACGGAUAAGGGACCUGAGAGGGUGGUCCCUCGCAAUGGCACUGAAACACGGGCCAUACACCUACGGGUGGCAGCAGUAGGGAAUAUUGGGCAAUGGGCGAAAGCCUGACCCAGCAACGCCGCGUGCACGAUGAAGGCCUUCGGGUCGUAAAGUGCUUUUCUGAGGAAUGAGAAAGGACAGUACCUCAGGAAUAAGCCUCGGCUAACUACGUGCCAGCAGCCGCGGUAAAACGUAGGAGGCAAGCGUUAUCCGGAUUUACUGGGCGUAAAGCGUGUGUAGGCGGUUCGGCAAGUUGGAUGUGAAAGCUCCUGGCUUAACUAGGAGAGGUCGUUCAAUACUACCGAACUUGAGGGCAUCAGAGGAAGGUGGAAUUCCCGGUGUAGUGGUGAAAUGCGUAGAUAUCGGGAGGAACACCAGUGGCGAAAGCGGCCUUCUGGGAUGUUCCUGACGCUCAGACACGAAAGCUAGGGUAGCGAACGGGAUUAGAGACCCCGGUAGUCCUAGCAGUAAACGAUGUAGACUUGGUGUCGGAGGUGUCAAAACCUUCGGUAUCGAAGCUAACGCGAUAAGUCUACCGCCUGGGGACUACGGCCGCAAGGUUAAAACUCAAAUGAAUUGACGG
rnacentral:rRNA from 1 species